AGUGAACGCUGGCGGUAGGCCUAACACAUGCAAGUCGAACGGCAGCACAGUAAGAGCUUGCUCUUACGGGUGGCGAGUGGCGGACGGGUGAGGAAUACAUCGGAAUCUACUUUUUCGUGGGGGAUAACGUAGGGAAACUUACGCUAAUACCGCAUACGACCUACGGGUGAAAGCAGGGGAUCUUCGGACCUUGCGCGAUUGAAUGAGCCGAUGUCGGAUUAGCUAGUUGGCGGGGUAAAGGCCCACCAAGGCGACGAUCCGUAGCUGGUCUGAGAGGAUGAUCACCCACACUGGACCUGAGACACGGUCCAGACUCCUACGGGAGGCAGAGGUGGGAAUAUUGGACAAUGGGCGCAAGCCUGAUCCAGCCAUACCGCGUGGGUGAAGAAGGCCUUCGGGUUGUAAAGCCCUUUUGUUGGGAAAGAAAAGCAGCAGGUUAAUACCCCGCUGUUCUGACGGUACCCAAAGAAUAAGCACCGGCUAACUUCGUG
rnacentral:rRNA from 1 species